UGCAUGUUUUCCCCUUACUUCUGACUUCUAAAUCCUUUUGUUGACUGGAUUAUUUUUCUUUGCCAGAUUUUCAGCUGAUUUAUGCUCUUCCGAGAGGUCCCAACACAUCCUCCACCUUUCCUCGGCUUUGGGAGCACAUGCUUAACCUGUAAUCAGCAUGACUCAAAACAGCAUCUGUCUCUGGAGCAAAAAGAAAUAAUGAUGUGCUCUGUUCUGCUGCUCCCUGUUCAAAGAUCAUCAAAAAGCCCUGUGUUGGCACAGCUGAUGACCCCUCUUGGGAGAAGCCUAGGAUGGCCUAACUGGGCAUGGGGGGAUCAUACUGGGAGGCAAGAGUUGCUGAGAAGGAGAAAAAUUCUGCACCUCUAUCAUUGACGAAGACGAGGAAGGAUAUGAAAAAGAAUCUCCUGAUAUUCCAGUGGGUUGCAGUGGGGAAAUUGAGGCCUGAAAAGCUGCACAGGUAAUGCAUAAGAAAUCCAUAAAUAUACUUCUGACUUUUUAAAUCCUAAAGUCAUCCUCCCUCCUCCACAAACAUAAGAUUAAGGAACCAGUUAUUGAUGAAAACUGUUUGUUUUAAUGGCCA
rnacentral:lncRNA from 1 species